rnacentral:ncRNA from 2 species
UUAAAACAGGUUCGCAAACUCCCUGUCAAAAAAACUAAGGAGAA